rnacentral:misc_RNA from 1 species
GAAAUGCGAUAAGUAGUGUGAAUUGCAGAAUUCAGUGAAUCAUCGAAUCUUUGAACGCACAUUGCGCCCCUUGGUAUUCCAUGGGGCAUGCCUGUUCGAGCGCCAUUUGUACCCUCAAGCUCUGCUUGGUGUUGGGUGUUUGUCCCGUCUCCGCGCGUGGACUCGCCCCAAAGUGAUUGGCAGCCGGCGUACUGGUCCCGGAGCGCAGCACAUGUCGCGCAAACGAGUGCCUUGGUACGGCGGCGUCCAUAAGCCCCUCUCUCACGCUCUUGACCUCGGAUCAGGUAGGGAUACCCGCUGAACUUAAGC